CAAUAGCGUAUAUUAAAGUUGUUGCAGUUAAAAAGCUCGUAGUUGGAUUUCUGGUUGAAGCGACCGGUCGGGCGUUGAUUCGUCUGCACUGGAGUCGGUUUUGGCCAUCCUCUAGGAAAGUGCGUCUGGUAUUAAGUUAUCGGGCGUAUGAUCCUGGUCUUUUACUGUGAAAAAAUUAGAGUGUUUAAAGCAGGCCUUCGCCUUGAAUACAUUAGCAUGGAAUAAUAAGAUAGGACUUUGGUCUAUUUUGUUGGUUUGCAGACCGAAGUAAUGAUUAAUAGGGAUAGUUGGGGGUACCUGUAUUGCGUUGUCAGAGGUGAAAUUCUUGGAUUUACGCAAGACAAACAGCUGCGAAAGCGUCUGCCAAGGAUGUUUNCAUUAA
rnacentral:rRNA from 1 species